GACGAACGCUGGCGGCGUGCUUAACACAUGCAAGUCGAACGGAAAGGCCCUGCUUUUGUGGGGUGCUCGAGUGGCGAACGGGUGAGUAACACGUGAGUAACCUGCCCUUGACUUUGGGAUAACUUCAGGAAACUGGGGCUAAUACCGGAUAGGAGCUCCUGCUGCAUGGUGGGGGUUGGAAAGUUUCGGCGGUUGGGGAUGGACUCGCGGCUUAUCAGCUUGUUGGUGGGGUAGUGGCUUACCAAGGCUUUGACGGGUAGCCGGCCUGGGAGGGUGACCGGCGACAUUGGGACUGAGGGACGGCCCAGACGCGUACGGUGGGCAGCAGUGGGGAAUAUUGCACAAUGGGCGGAAGCCUGAGGCAGCAACGCCGCGUGCGGGAUGACGGCCUUCGGGUUGUAAACCGCUUUAGCCUGUGACGAAGCGUGAGUGACGGUAAUGGGUAAAGAAGCACCGGCUAACUACGUG
rnacentral:rRNA from 1 species